UACGAAGGGGGCUAGCGUUGCUCGGAAUUACUGGGCGUAAAGGGCGCGUAGGCGGCGCAUUUAGUCAGGCGUGAAAUUCCUGGGCUCAACCUGGGGACUGCGCUUGAGACGGGUGUGCUAGAGGACGGAAGAGGGUCGCGGAAUUCCUGGUGUAGCGGUGAAAUGCGUAGAUAUCAGGAGGAACACCUGCGGUGUAGACGGCUUACUGGACGGUAACUGACGCUGAGGCACGAAAGCGUGGGUAGCAAACAGG
rnacentral:rRNA from 1 species